rnacentral:lncRNA from 1 species
CCCUAUAACUUCCAUGAAUCCAAAGUGUCUGAGUAUGCUUUGUUAUUAAAGGAACUGGGUUUCUUCCCUUGCCCAUCUGGAUCCCCGAUCUGAAGAAUUUAGAUGGGAUGUGUGUUCAAUAGAUAGAUUGUGUAGCUAUAGAAGAACCUUAAGACCCAUCUAUGAUGGCUUCCUCAGAUAUGCUAUUUUUUCUCAUUUUUAAAUAUCAUAUGUAUAAGAGUGCUUGGGCUGCCAUAACAAAAUAAUAGACUAAAUGGCUUAAACAACCAUAAUUUAUGUUCUCAGAGUUCUACCUUGAUGUUCCAGAUCAAAGUCUCAGAGGGUUUGUUUUUCCUGAGGCCUUUCUCCUCAGCUUCCAGUUAGCAACCUACUCCCUGUCUCUUAUCCUGAUCUUUUCUCUGUGCACACACAUCCCUGAUGUUUCUCUAUGUGUGCAAAUUUCCUCAUGUUGUAAAGACACUGGCCAGAUUGGAUUAGGGCCCACCUUCAUGUCCUCAUUUUAACUUCUUCACCUAUUUAAAUUGAAGGCCCUAUCUACAAAUGCAGUCACAUUCUGAGAUACUGAGAUCUAUUGGCGGGGGCACAAUUUAACCCACAAUACUGCAUUCAUUGAUAUGUCUGAUGGACUCUUAAAAUUCUAUCUAGUGCUUUUCUUUUGUAAUAACAAAGGCUCACUCUAUAGAUGGUUGUAACACUCAGGGGCAAACCAGAGAACAUCUU